GCCCCUUUAGCUCAGUUGGUAGAGCAGCUGACUCUUAAUCAGCGGGUCCACGGUUCGAGCCCGUGAGGGGGCA
rnacentral:tRNA from 1 species